rnacentral:rRNA from 1 species
CGUUAAAGCUUAAUUGUCUAAAUUAAAAAUCCCCAUAAUUAAUUAUAACCCUUACUCUGUACUGAAUAGUCUCAUAAUAUUAUGAGAGCCUAUAUGUUAGAACUAGUAACAAGAAGAAGCCCUUCUCCAAAAUGUAAGCAUGAGCCAAAAUGAACUCUUCAUUGGCACUUAAAGUCGUAAACCCACUGUAGUAACCCAAACAAGAAAAACCUACAAAUUAUUAACGUCAACCUUACACCAGCGCAUUUAUGGAAAGAUUAAAAGAAUGGGAAGGAACUCGGCAAAUAAUUAACCCCGCCUGUUUACCAAAAACAUCGCCUCCUGCAACCCCAUAGGAGGUCCAGCCUGCCCAGUGACAAAGUUAAACGGCCGCGGUACCCUAACCGUGCAAAGGUAGCGCAAUCACUUGUUCUUUAAAUGAGGACUAGUAUGAACGGCAUCACGAGGGUUAUGCUGUCUCCCCACUCUAUUCAGUGAAACUGAUCUCCCCGUGAAGAAGCGGGGAUAAAAAUAUAAGACGAGAAGACCCCAUGGAGCUUUAAACUCAGUAGCAAUUGCCUAAAUAAAAAACCUAAUAUUCUGCAACCAUGCCUGCUAGUUUUUGGUUGGGGUGACCGCGGAGUAAAACUAAACCUCCAUGAUGAAAGGAAUUAAUAACCUAACCCACGAGCUACAGCUCUAAGUAUUAACAAAUUAACUAAAUUGACCCAAUUACUUGAUCAACGAACCAAGUUACCCUGGGGAUAACAGCGCAAUCCAUUUCAAGAGCUCAUAUCGACAAAUGGGUUUACGACCUCGAUGUUGGAUCAGGGUAUCCCAGUGGCGCAGCUGCUACUAAUGGUUUGUUUGUUCAACAAUUAAA